UUAUCGGAGAGUUUGAUCCUGGCUCAGGACGAACGCUGGCGGCAUGCCUAAUACAUGCAAGUCGAGCGGUGCAGCAA
rnacentral:rRNA from 2 species